GUGCUCACUUCCGUAGCACAUAUACUAAAAUUGGAACAAUACAGAGAUUAGCGUGGCCCCUGUGCACACUCAGGAGGAUGAAGCCUUAUAAAACUCCACUACAUUUUA